rnacentral:rRNA from 1 species
UCGGGAAUUUUGGGCAAUGGGCGAAAGCCUGACCCAGCAACGCCGCGUGAGGGAUGAAGUAUUUCGGUAUGUAAACCUCGAAAGAAUGGGAAGAAUAAAUGACGGUACCAUUUAUAAGCUCCGGCUAACUACGUGCCAGCAGCCGCGGUAAUACGUAGGGAUCAAGCGUUGUUUGGAUUUACUGGGCGUAAAGGGCGCGUAGGCGGCGCGGUAAGUCACUUGUGAAAUCUCUGAGCUUAACUCAGAACGGCCAAGUGAUACUGCUGUGCUAGAGUGCGGAAGAGGCAACCGGAAUUCUUGGUGUAGCGGUGAAAUGCGUAGAUAUCAAGAGGAACACCUGAGGCGAAGGCGGGUUGCUGGGCCGACACUGACGCUGAUGCGCGAAAGCCAGGGGAGCAAACG